CCUGUGGACCUUCCGACUCAUACGCGGUAGAAAGGGGGUGAGGUUGAUGACCGGUUCGUAAUAACGUUUCAGGACCCGGGGGCGGUACCCGGCGCCUCCACCAGAAACAUCCUGCCCCGGACAUCGAACGGGGUCAGAGAUCAGGGUGCUUCUGCUGGGGGCGAAGUUAGGUUCGACUGGACGGUAAAGGGAUCGCGAGUUCUACCCUGUUUCGGCAGGAUAAGAUGCGACUUUCGGUAAGGACUCGACCGGUUCGGCGCAGGCAACCCCUGUUCCGGGCACCUGACCAAAACUCUAAAUGCCAACGAUAACGUUGUCAUGGAUGCCCGCCUCGCGGCGUAAGCAUCUUGCGGCAGGGCAGCCGUAGAAACAGAACCCGGGGCU
rnacentral:tmRNA from 1 species